rnacentral:misc_RNA from 1 species
GCAGUAUUCGUGAUGUCUCGGAUAUCGAUCUUUUUCUCUAAGAUGUUUCCUGAUUGGAUGCAACGCCCGACAUAGGAUGAAAGCCUGCGUGAAAUGGAUUUUUGGGUUUGGAGAAGCCUCUGUUGCUAGUAAUUAUCGAAAGGGUUACAUCUUUCGUCGUCCCACGCGGCGUCGUACCAAUUCGAUUUGUAACUGUGCUUUCUGCUGCCUCUAAAUUGAGUUACAGAACAUUAGCGGUGAAUCGACCCUGCCACCAGACAGCACGUGUCC